rnacentral:RNase_P_RNA from 1 species
UGGAGUGGGUGCAUGGUCGCUCAGUUUAUUAAGAGCUGAGAGGAAAGUCCGAACUCCUCAGGGCAGGAUGGUUCGUAACGCGAACGCCGGGUGACCGGCGGAAAGUGCCACAGAAAAGAUACCGCCGCAUCUUCGGAUUCGGUAAGGGUGAAAUGGCGAGGUAAAAGCUCACCGCCUGUAUGGUGACAUGCAGGGCAGGGUAAACCCCAUCCGGAGCAAGACCAAAUAGGAAGACGUCCCACAGGCUGCCCGCCUGAAGUCUUCGGGUAGGUUGCAAGAGGUGCCGGGUGACCGGUAUCCCAGUGAAAUGACCAUGAUUGUACAGAAUUCGGCUUACAGCCCACUUCAUUUU